UACGAAGGGUGCAAGCGUUAAUCGGAAUUACUGGGCGUAAAGCGUGCGUAGGUGGUUUGUUAAGUCUGCUGUGAAAGCCCUGGGCUCAACCUGGGAAUGGCGGUGGAUACUGACAAGCUAGAGUGCGGUAGAGGAGGGUGGAAUUCCCGGUGUAGCGGUGAAAUGCGUAGAUAUAGGAAGGAACACCAGUGGCGAAGGCGACCACCUGGACUGAUACUGACACUGAGGUGCGAAAGCGUGGGGAGCAAACAGG
rnacentral:rRNA from 1 species